UACGUAGGGUGCGAGCGUUGUUCGGAAUUACUGGGCGUAAAGCAUGCGUAGGCGGUUUGGUAAGUUAGAUGUGUAAUCCCCGGGCUCAACUCGGGAGCUGCAUUUAAGACUGCUAGACUAGAAUAUGGUAGGGGGUAAUGGAAUUCUUAGUGUAGGGGUAAAAUCCGUAGAUAUUAAGAGGAACACCAAUGGCGAAGGCAGCUUGCUGGGCCUUUUCUGACGCUGAGGCACGAAAGCGUGGGGAGCGAACAGG
rnacentral:rRNA from 1 species